rnacentral:rRNA from 1 species
AAUCUUCCACAAUGGGCGAAAGCCUGAUGGAGCAACGCCGCGUGAGUGAAGAAGGUUUUCGGAUCGUAAACCCCUGUCCUUGGGGACGAAAGAUGACGGUACCCAAGGAGGAAGCCCCGGCUAACUACGUGCCAGCAGCCGCGGUAAAACGUAGGGGGCGAGCGUUGUCCGGAAUUACUGGGCGUAAAGGGUGCGUAGGCGGCCGUUUAAGUCCUGUGUGAAAGGCUCCGGCUCAACCGGAGAGAGCCAUGGGAAACUGGACGGCUUGAGUGCCGGAGAGGGUUGCGGAAUUCCCGGUGUAGCGGUGAAAUGCGUAGAGAUCGGGAGGAACACCAGUGGCGAAGGCGGCAACCUGGACGGUGACUGACGCUGAGGCACGACAGCUGGGGGAGCAAACAGG